rnacentral:misc_RNA from 1 species
GAUGAAGAACGUAGUGAAAUGCGAUAAGUAGUGUGAAUUGCAGAAUUCCGUGAAUCAUCGAAUCUUUGAACGCACAUUGCGCCCCUUGGUAUUCCAUGGGGCAUGCCUGUUCGAGCGUCAUUUGUACCUUCAAGCUCUGCUUGGUGUUGGGUGUUUGUCUCGCCUCUGCGUGUAGACUCGCCUCAAAACAAUUGGCAGCCGGCGUAUUGAUUUCGGAGCGCAGUACAUCUCGCGCUUUGCACUCAUAACGACGACGUCCAAAAGUACAUUUUUACACUCUUGACCUCGGAUCAGGUAGGGAUACCCGCUGAACUUAAGCAUAUCAAUAAGCGGAGGA